rnacentral:rRNA from 1 species
GACGAACGCUGGCGGCGUGCCUAAUACAUGCAAGUCGAACGCAGUGGGGACGUGUGAGUAACACGUGGGUAACCUCCCAUCAGAGGGGAUAACACUUGGAAACAGGUGCUAAACCGAUACUGAUUGAUGUACCCUAGUUGCAUUAGCUAGUUGGUGAGGUAACGGCUCACCAAGGCCACGAUGCAUAGGCGACCGGCGAGGGGAGUCGGCCACACUGGGACUGAGACACGACCCAGACUACUACGAGAGGCAACGUGAGGGAUAGGACGGCAGUGGAAGAGAGUCUGACCGAGAAACGCCGCGUAGGUGAAGAAAGGUUUCGGAUCGUAGUACUCUGUUGUUAGAGAAGCGGUAUCUAACCAGAAAGCCACGGCUAACUACGUGCCAGCCGCCGCGGUAAUAC